AGAGUUUGAUCCUGGCUCAGAAUGAACGCUGGCGGCGUGCUUAACACAUGCAAGUCGUACGAGAAAUCUUCAGCUUGCUGAAGAGAGUAAAGUGGCGCACGGGUGAGUAACGCGUGGAUAAUCUAUCCUUGAAUUGGGGAUAACGUUGCGAAAGCGACGCUAAUACCGGAUGAUAUCAUAAAGGCCUCGGCCUUAAUGAUCAAAGAUGACCUCUACCUGUAAGUUGUUGUUUGAGGAGGAGUCCGCGUACCAUUAGCUUUGGUAGGGUAACGGCCUACCAAGGCCACGAUGGUUAGCUGGUCUGAGAGGAUGAUCAGCCACACUGGAACUGACACACGGUCCAGACUCCUACGGGAGGCAGCAGUGAGGAAUUUUGCGCAAUGGGGGAAACCCUGACGCAGCAACGCCGCGUGAGUGAUGAAGGCUUUAGGGUCGUAAAGCUCUGUCAAGUGGGAAGAACCUAUCCGGAAUUAAUACGUUCGGGUACCGACGGUACCACUGAAUAAGCACCGGCUAACUCCGUGCCAGCAGCAGCGGUAAUACGGAGGGUGCAAGCGUUAUCCGGAUUUAUUGGGCGUAAAGAGUUCGUAGGCGAUUCUUUAAGUUAUCUUUCAAAGACCGGGGCUCAACCUCGGGAAGGGGGAUAAUACUGAAGAAAUUGAAGUGUUUUGGGGCUACUGGAACUUGCGGUGUAGGGGUGAAAUCCGUUGAUAUCGCAAGGAACACCGAGGGCGAAGGCGAGUAGCUGGGAACUAUUUGACGCUGAGGAACGAAAGCCAGGGGAGCAAAAGGGAUUAGAGACCCCUGUAGUCCUGGCCGUAAACGAUGCUCGCUAGCGAUGUGUUCUUUAUUGAAUGCGUCGCGUAAGCUAACGCGUUAAGCGAGCCGCCUGGGGAGUACGAACGCAAGUUUAAAACUCAAAGGAAUUGACGGGGACCCGCACAACCAGUGGAGCAUGUGGUUUAAUUCGAGACGGACCGAAGAACCUUACCUGGUCUUGACAUACUAGCUGCACUCCGAUAGAAAUAUUGGAUUCUUUUGAAGGUGCUAGUACAGGUGUUGCAUGGCUAUCGUCAGCUCGUGUCGUGAGGUGUUCCCUUCAGUGGGGUAACGAGCGCAACCCUUGCCGUAUGUUAAAUUGUUCAUACGGGACUGCUCGAGUCAUUCUCGGGAGGAAGGAGAGGACGACGUUAAGUCAGCAUGGCCCUUAUGACCAGGGCUACACGCAUGCUACAAUGGAGCCGACAAUGGGUUGCCAAGGAGUAAUCCGGAGCUAAUCCCAUCAAACGGCUUCUCAGUGGGGAUUGAGGGCUGCAACCCGCCCUCAUGAACGUGGAAUUGGUAGUAAUCGCGAAUCAGCAAUGUCGCGGUGAAUACGUUCUCGGGUCUUGUACACACCGCCCGUCAAGUCAGCAAAGUUGGAGAUACCCGAAUGG
rnacentral:rRNA from 1 species